rnacentral:tRNA from 1 species
UGGGAGUUAGCUCAGGGGAACAGAGUGCUAGGAGUCAUGUCCUAGAAGUCGGUGGUUCGAUUCCAUCACUCCCAA